AUACGGAGGGGACAAGCGUUAUUCGGAAUCACUGGGCGUAAAGGACGCGUCGGCGGGUUAUUAAGUCGGGUGUGAAAUCCAAUGGCUCAACCAUUGAACUGCAUUCGAAACUGAUAACCUAGAGUAUGGAAGGGGCAGGUGGAAUUAGUGGUGUAGGGGUAAAAUCCGUAGAUAUCACUAGGAAUACCGAAAGCGAAGGCGACCUGCUGGGACAUUACUGACGCUGAGGCGUGAAAGCGUGGGGAGCAAACAGGAUUAGAAACCCCGGUAGUCC
rnacentral:rRNA from 1 species